AUUUUUUUCAUUUUCUUGCUCUCAGAUUGAAGGCUUUUGUCAGUGAUUUUGUGGCCCAAAACACCACAAAGAGCAAGGUAAUGAAUCAAAGAAUCCUCUCUUCAAUUCCUUUUGAUUAUAAAUCAAGAUUUCUAUCGAUUUAUCGCUAUUUUUUUUGAAAAAAUUUGAGAUUUUGAAACCCCUGUUUGGCUAUUCGUGUGUGUGUUUUCCAGCCCCACC
rnacentral:lncRNA from 1 species